rnacentral:ncRNA from 1 species
GUAAGCCGUGUGCGGGAGAACCGCAUGCACGGUUUGACGGGGGGCGGCUGGAAACGGAGCAUUGCCAGGGACGGCCGGGAUGAAAAACGCGCGGGAAACCGUACGGACAAAGGUACCGGACCAUGUGCCUACAGCGAGAUGCCGCCGCGCCAGUCGCCUACCCUAC